AGCAGCCGCGGUAAUUCCAGCUCCAAUAGCGUAUAUUAAAGUUGUUGCAGUUAAAAAGCUCGUAGUUGAACUUCGGGGUUUACUCAUUGGUCAGGCUUAAUUGUCUGUACUGGUGAGAUGAAUCUCUACCUUCUGAGGAACUUUCAUGCCAUUUAUUUGGUGUGGUUGGAAAUCAGGACUGUUACUUUGAAAAAUUAGAGUGUUUAAAGCAGGCUAACGUCUGAAUACAUUAGCAUGGAAUAAUGAAAUAGGACGGAUUGAUUCUAUUUCGUUGGUUUCUAGGGUCACCGUAAUGAUUAAUAGGGAUAGUUGGGGGCAUUAGUAUUCAAUUGUCAGAGGUGAAAUUCUUGGAUUUAUUGAAGACUAACUACUGCGAAAGCAUUUGCCAAGGAUGUUUUCAUUAAUCAAGAACGAAAGUUAGGGGGAUCGAAGACGAUCAGAUACCGUCGUAGUCUUAACCAUAAACUAUG
rnacentral:misc_RNA from 1 species